GUGAACGCUGGCGGUAGGCCUAACACAUGCAAGUCGAACGGCAGCACAGUAAGAGCUUGCUCUUACGGGUGGCGGGUGGCGGACGGGUGAGGAAUACAUCGGAAUCUACUUUUUCGUGGGGGAUAACGUAGGGAAACUUACGCUAAUACCGCAUACGACCUACGGGUGAAAGCAGGGGAUCUUCGGACCUUGCGCGAUUGAAUGAGCCGAUGUCGGAUUAGCUAGUUGGCGGGGUAAAGGCCCACCAAGGCGACGAUCCGUAGCUGGUCUGAGAGGAUGAUCAGCCACACUGGAACUGAGACACGGUCCAGACUCCUACGGGAGGCAGCAGUGGGGAAUAUUGGACAAUGGGCGCAAGCCUGAUCCAGCCAUACCGCGUGGGUGAAGAAGGUCUUCGGGUUGUAAAGCCCUUUUGUUGGGAAAGAAAAGCAGCAGGUUAAUACCCCGCUGUUCUGACGGUACCCAAAGAAUAAGCACCGGCUAACUUCGUG
rnacentral:rRNA from 1 species